AUAUAUAUAAAAGAAAAAACUGUUACGAAUGAAAAUCUUUUCUCUUACGAUUUUUGAUAAAUGACCAUGACUCCAUAAGAAAAGGUCUUGGCCUUGCGUUAGCUUGCUCCAUUUCACAUCAGAGAUAUCGAAGCGAAGUAAGAGAAAAAAUUUGGUCGUGACCUUGUUUAAUCUGAAUUGGAAAAGACAUGUGUGCGUGUGUGUGUGUUUGUGAGAGAAAGAAAGAGAGAGAUAUGAAAUACUGCGCGUGUUUGACUACUUAAACUUGCGAAUCACGUAUGGUAGAUUAUGAGAAUGCAUGACUGUAUCUAUUUAUGAUCGUCUCUAUACUUGAAGAAAUGUUCUUGUGUGCCUUGUGAUUAUUAUAAUUAUUAGUUAUCAUAGUCAUGUCGAUAAGCUCUCGAAUUAUAUUUUAGUAUUAUUUACGCGUAAAUUUUAUUUUAACGUAAGUAACGAAAGAAAUUUUGCAAUUGUUUUAGAAAUACCGUGGAUUUUUAACGUAAUAAAAAAGUAGGACGGUUAACGUCGCGAAUUUUAUGCAUCGAUAACGAUAUCGAUGCAUAAAUUUCGAUACGUAAAAUCUGUCCUUUUUAAACGACAACAAAUCCUACAAGUUUGACUGCUAAAACGAUGAAUGGAUAUUCCUCUUGUGAACAUUUUUUUUUUUUUUUAUAAAAUAAUCUUAUGCCAAAAGUAUUUGUAAAUUAUUGUGCAUUAUCGUGCAUUAUCGUCACCUAUUAUAGAUUAAUGCUUAUUUAUAUAUGAUGUGUAUAUAUGUUUAUAUAUAUAUAUAUACAUAUACACACAUUCAUAUAUAUAUAUAAGUACAUAUAUAUAUACUUAUAUAUAUAUAUAUAUGCAAAUGCACGAACAGUGUACAUAAGUAUUAUCACUAUUAUUAAAGAAAUUGAAAAGAUUUACUAGUAAAAGUAUUUGCUCUCUUUCAAACCUAUCCUCUACUUUCAUAAUUUUAUUAAAAUUAAAAAUAAUUGGAAAUAAUUGAAACAAUUGAAAUAAUUUAAAUAAAGGAAUAUUCUAUGAUAUAAAUGAUUGCAUGUUUAAGGAGAAUGAUGUUAAAAUAAAAGAAUGUGGAACAAAGCACGAAGAUAAUGAAAUAACCUUCGUGACGAUUUGAGAUAACGUUAUAUCGGAUUAAAAUUAUAUUCUUUUACCUUGCCUCAUAAGAUUGAGAUUUUCUGACGUAGCGUCGAAGAAAAUCAUGAAACAGUCUCUGACUCAAUAAGAUAUUGAAAAGUAAAUUAAAAUAAUUUACGAAGCAUGAUGUGACUUAAAUCACGAUUAAUUAUCUCUUCGUGCUUAAUAAAGGAUUAUGAUUGAUAUUUCGUAGAAUCAUUUAUAUAUAUAUAUAUAUAUACAUAUAUAUAUAUAUAUAUUUAAUUAAGAUUAUUAUAUUAUUAAUAAAAAUAACUUUUUUUAACGACAAAGAACUUCUCUUUGUAUUUCUUGUUUAUUUUGUUUGUUAAAUCCAUAUAAACGGCGCGUAAUCAAUAUAGAAAUUUGAACGAACGUACAUUUAAGUGGAAUGAUUAUAUACAUAAUCUAAUUUGAAUUAUUCCCUAGAGAAAUAUGAUAAAAUAUCUAUAAUAUAAAACUAUAACGAUAUAUUUUCUUGAAUAAUAUUGUCAUGAUUCUCGGACAGUUUCAGCUUAAGUGUUAUAAUUUUGAUUGAUUGUAAGAAAAUAUUACAUUUUAUGUAAUAUAUAUAUAUAUAUAUAUAUAUAUAUAUAUAUUUAUAUAUAUCAGUAAUGUGUAAAUUAGCACAAUUUGUUGUAACGCACGGUAUUUAUCACAGUCUAAUUGGAAUUUCAGGUGAGUGAUUUCCUGUGGCCUUCUCCUUGAGGAAAUUUUUCGACGUUUUGACCUUAACCCACAAGCUGGUAUAAGAAAACGGACAUUGACCUCGAUGAAUCAGAAACGACCUAGAACCAUGGCAAGGAGAGCCAUACGAACGUAAACACCAUUUUCGGCUUGUCUAAAAUACGCAGCGCGAGGAUCCAUGUCGAAUUCUGUACUUAUCUCGAAAACACGUGGAAGGGGAUGCAUGACUACCAUUUUCCUCUUGGCACGCGACAUUAAUUGCGGCGUCACUAUGAAAUGACCACAAACCUGCGAAAAAAUAAAUGACAUUUUUAUUACGAUUUAUUUUUGCGUUUCGUCGAUAGGGUUCAUUUGAAAAGUUCAAAACUAAUUUACAUUGAAAUUCGUAAUUAGUGGUACAGGUGAUUGAACGUGAAAAUAUGAUUAAGUGGAAUGAACAUACACGCUUAGGAUAGUUAAUGAUCGGUAUCAGAUUCAUUAACAUCUCAUAUUUUAUACACGAUAGAGAAUUUGAUUUUAUUGAAUUAACCUGGCGAGAGAAUGAACGGUUCUUCCAUGCUUCAAAUCGCCGACCAUCGUAAUCGUCAGACCGUUCACAGUACCGAUCUCAUCACGAAUUGUGAAGAUAUCCAAUAAGGCUUGAGUGGGAUGUUCACCAACACCAUCGCCAGCAUUUAUUAGGGGCUUUCUACAGUGUUGAGAUGCUCUCUAUAAAAUAGAUAAUAAUAUAUAGGAUAGUUUAUUCGUUACUUAUCUACUUAUGUAAUAUUUCGAAUAGGUGUACUUACUGAUACUGCACCAGGUUCUGGAUGUCGAACAACAACUACGUCAGCGUAACCAGCCAUUACGGCUACCGAAUCUGUGAACAAGAAAAGAUCAUCGGUUAGAAAAAAAAAAAAAAAAAAAAAAAAAAAAGAGAAGCAGUUACGAACCUUCCAGAGUUUCUCCCUUUUUUACCGACGAUGUAGAACCAUCCAUGUAUAUUACCUUUCCACCAAGUCGUUCCAUAGCAGCCGAGAAACUACAGGAAGUUCUUGUACUGGCUUCGUAGAAAAUAGAUGCCAUAAUUUUACCCUAGAUAAAAUAAAACUAAAAUUUUAAAGACGAAUAACUGCUUAUGUGAUAAUACUUCUAUAUCACAAUAUCAAUAAUCUUACUCUCAAGAUGUGAUCCAACAUUCGUUCCUUUCGAAUCGCGUUACGAAAUGUUUCGGCGAGAUGGAAAACUUCUUUCAAUUCUUCCUUAUUGAAGAUAUCCGCCGAAAGAAUAUGAUGUCCAGUUAAGUUGCAGCUAAUGUGAUUCGGUGUCGUUGGCUGUACAUGGAGAUUCAAAUUACUUUCGCUCUUGUGACGUAUGGAACUACUAAAGGACAACGGUGAAAUUGUUCGUUGAACUCCUAAUAGCUUUGGAUGAUCGACGUCCGAUGCGAAAUGAACGUUCGAUUUUUGAAUGAUGGGUUGUAAUAAGUGAUUAUAGCGUUCUGAAGAAAAAUAAAAUAAUUGGGUAAAGUAAAAUAUCUGAUACGAAUAAAUUAUUAUAGAUCAGAUACAAUAAUAGUUCGCGUUUCCUCACCUAAUUGUUCUUCUUCCAAUUCACUAUUACGAUCGUGAAUAUUAGGCGAUAAAAGAUUAUCCAAGCCUGAUCCAGGUCUACUAACGUUUACAUCGAUCGUGGGUGCAUAAACAAUAGACGGAUGUUUCAUCUUUAUUUGAAUCUCUCUGAUAUCCUGACCGAAUCCUGGAUUAACCAAAACUUGUCCUUCAACGUAAGCAACUUCCCCUCUAAGAACUACUCUAUGAACCGAACCACGGAUUUUCAUCCCUGCGAAUGGUGUCCAUUGAGCUUUGCUAAAAGACAUAGCAUCUGGUAUGACCCAUUCAUCAUCUAGAUCAACUUCAACGUAGGUGUUCGGUUGAUCUGGUAUAUUGAAGAUUUUCUUCGGAUUUCUAUAAAACUUGUCGACCAGUGCCUGCAAUAUAUAUGUUCGUCUUUUUUUUGAUGUUACAUUAGAUAUUAAACGAAGAAUAUGAAAUA